CCUACGGGAGGCAGCAGUGGGGAAUUUUGGACAAUGGGGGCAACCCUGAUCCAGCCAUGCCGCGUGAGUGAAGAAGGCCUUCGGGUUGUAAAGCUCUUUCGGCCGGGAAGAAAUCGCAUCAGCUAAUACCUGGUGUGGAUGACGGUACCGGAAUAAGAAGCACCGGCUAACUACGUGCCAGCAGCCGCGGUAAUACGUAGGGUGCGAGCGUUAAUCGGAAUUACUGGGCGUAAAGCGUGCGCAGGCGGUUGUGUAAGACAGGCGUGAAAUCCCCGGGCUCAACCUGGGAACUGCGCUUGUGACUGCACGGCUAGAGUACGGCAGAGGGGGGUGGAAUUCCACGUGUAGCAGUGAAAUGCGUAGAGAUGUGGAGGAACACCGAUGGCGAAGGCAGCCCCCUGGGCCGAUACUGACGCUCAUGCACGAAAGCGUGGGUAGCAAACAGGAUUAGAUACCCUGGUAGUCCACGCCCUAAACGAUGUCAACUAGGUGUUGGGUGGGUAAAACCAUUUAGUACCGUAGCUAACGCGUGAAGUUGACCGCCUGGGGAGUACGGCCGCAAGGUUAAAACUCAAAUGAAUUGACGG
rnacentral:rRNA from 1 species